CCUGGUAGCCAUAUCACCCUGCAACUCACUGAAGUUAAGCAGGUGUGAGCCUGGUCAGUACCUGGAUUGGAGACCUCCUGGGAAAAACUAAGGUUGCUGCUGGAA
rnacentral:rRNA from 1 species